rnacentral:misc_RNA from 1 species
AACGCACGAGACCUGCGGACCUGCGGAGGGAUCAUUACUGAAUGUUACCAAACAUAAACCCUUGUGAACCUUCUGUAUUUCUGCCUUGGCAGGUAAUCCCAGGGCGGGAUUCUGGGCCUCUUCGGGGGCACCUGCCAGCGGUGGAACAUUUUCAUACUCUGAAUUACAGUGGACUUCUGAGUGUCUUCCAAAAUAAAUUAAAACUUUUAGCAACGGAUCUCUAGAUCGGAAGAGCACACG